rnacentral:lncRNA from 1 species
GUGAACGUGUGGGGGGGCAUCCAGAAAAGAUGAUCGCAAGGGUCUGGCUUGCCCAAGGCGUUAGGCAGCUCAGCCUCUCUGCAUCUCCUUGCAGGUGCCUCUGAACCAUGGUUGGGAAGUCACAGAGACGCUGCCCUUUAAUCUCUCUGUAGAGGAGCUGAAAAGCAGCCAGGAGUUGCUGUGUGCGAGGUCCUGCCCUUUACACCUCCCGUCCCCAGCCGGCCGACGCUGCCCAGCCUGCCCAUCCUCCCGGCACCUCGGUAAGUGCUCGGGGCGCACAGCUGGCUCCCCUCUCUCUGCUGCCUGGUCUUUCAACUUCCCUAGGUUCUUGGCCCCUCCUUUGUACAUCUGGGGUUCAGGAAGCAAUCUGUGCUGCUUCUCUCUCAGCCCUGCUGGGCYGAGGCCUCCAGUUCCCGUGCAACAUGAGUGCUUGCAGAGCCCGCGGCAGUUACUGCUCUGUGGACCUGUCUUCUGCUCUUUGGCUUUCCUCUCAYUGCUGAUGGGCGAUUCAGUAAGGAUAUUAGCAGCCAAAGGCUGAGAUGAUGCUGGUUCUCUUGGAACAUAYUCCURAAAGGAGAAUUUGCUGUAGUAGGAGUGGAUCCCAGCAUGGUGCAUGUAAGAUGGGAGAUGGGAAUGAAAGUGAAGAGGUAGAGAGCAGGCRGAAGGAAAGAAAGAAAGAAAAGGAUCCUAAAUCAUCAGCUGGAGACUACCUGUUGCAGUGGGAAGCUUAAGCUGCUUUCCUUAGGAAAGGAGAGGGAAAGUAACUCUGAUUUGCACAUCCAGCAUAGCUGAAAACCCUGAAUCUCUGUCCUUAGCAGGGGACUGUGGGUAUUGGGGGAAGAAAUGCUCUGAGGCAGGACCUAAAGAUCUUUCAACAAACKAAACUUUUCCAUCUCAAGGCUAGGCUCAGCAUCACAGCACCUGAGGUCCAAAAUUAAGCUGUGCAAUUUCUAUCUAUGCUACCAUUCUUGUGUGUGAUGCCAG